CCACCAGCAGCAGCCCCAUUGAAGUGGGACAUGUAUCCUAACGCCGAACACACAUUGCCACGUCACUCUCACCCAAGUCUGCAGUUUACACAAGGAUUCACUCUAGGAAUGUGCAUUUAAGGUCUCCCCGUGGCCUUCUGUGGCUUGCCAGCUCGCUUCUCAGCACUGCAUAAUGUCCCAUCGUGUGGAUGGACCCACUGUUUACUCAUCCAGUCACCUUCUGAAGUAUGUCCUGGCUGCUUCCAAGUUGUGGCCAUUAUGUGCUAUAAACACCAUGGUAUAGGUUUUGUGUAGACACAGGUUUUCAACCCCUUUGGGUAAGCACCAAGAAGCAAGAUGGCUGGAUCAUAUGGUAAGAGUGUGUUUAGUUUUGCAGGAAAGUGCCAGACUGACUUCCGAAGUGACUGUACCAUGUUUCAUCCUCAUCAGCAAGGAAGGAGAGGUCCCCUUUGCUGCACAUCCUCGCCAGCACUCGGUGUUCCCAGCGUUCCGGAUUUUGGCCGUCCUAAGCUAUUAGGAAUCCUGCCACCACUGUAUUGUGAGAUGUCCGUGACAAAGGGUACAUGUAGAUUCUACUGUCAACAGCCUCAUGUGCAUUCCCAGGCCACGGCAUGUACUGCCAGCCCUGCAAGUGAGCCCUCGUGGAUGUAGCUCAUUCAAGCCUUCAGGUGACUCCAUGCCCAGCUGCCACUUGACUGAAAAUUCCUAAGGGACUCUAAAUGAGAACGGCCUGGCUGAGCACAAUAAACUCACAAAAUUAUGAGUGAUAACAAUAAACGUUUGCUCUAAGU